rnacentral:rRNA from 1 species
AGCUCGUUGGUAGGGUAAUGGCCUACCAAGGCUACGACGGGUAGGGGGCCUGAGAGGGUGGCCCCCCACACUGGCACUGAAACACGGGCCAGACACCUACGGGUGGCAGCAGUAGGGAAUAUUGCACAAUGGGCGAAAGCCUGAUGCAGCAACGCCGCGUGAACGAUGAAGACCUUCGGGUUGUAAAGUUCUUUUCUGAAGGACGAGGAAGGACGGUACUUCAGGAAUAAGGAUCGGCUAACUACGUGCCAGCAGCCGCGGUAAUACGUAGGAUCCGAGCGUUAUCCGAAUUUACUGGGCGUAAAGCGUGUGCAGGCGGUUUGGUAAGUUGGAUGUGAAAGCUCCCGGCUCAACUGGGAGAGGCCGUUCAAAACUACCAGACUUGAGGACGGUAGAGGGAGGUAGAAUUCCCGGUGUAGUAGUGAAAUGCGUAGAUAUCGGGAGGAAUACCAGUGGCGAAGGCGGCCUCCUGGGCCGUUCCUGACGCUCAGACACGAAAGCUAGGGGAGCGAACGGGAUUAGAAACCCCGGUAGUCCUAGCUGUAAACGAUGCAAACUUGGUGUUGGUGGGGUAAAAUCCGCCGGUGCCGAAGCUAACGCGAUAAGUUUGCCGCCUGGGGACUACGGCCGCAAGGUUAAAACUCAAAGGAAUUGACGGGGCCCCGCACAAGCAGCGGAGCGUGUGGUUUAAUUCGUUUUCUACGCGAAAAACCUUACCCGGGUUUGACAUAUAGGUAGUAGGGAUCCGAGAGGUGACCGACCCUUCGGGGAGCCUAUACAGGUGCUGCAUGGCUGUCGUCAGCUCGUGCCGUGAGGUGUCCGGUUAAGUCCGGUAACGAGCGCAACCCUCGCUGUAUGUUACAAGUGUCAUACAGGACUGCCGGUAUCAAGCCGGAGGAAGGCGGGGAUGACGUCAAGUCAGCAUGGCCUUUAUAUCCGGGGCUACACACACGCUACAAUGGCCGGUACAAUGGGUCGCAAAGCCGCGAGGUAGAGCCAAUCCCCAAAACCGGUCUCAGUUCAGACUGCAGGCUGCAACCCGCCUGCACGAAGCCGGAGUUGCUAGUAAACGCGCGUCAGCAUUAGUGCGUUGAAUACGUUCCCGGGGCUUGUACACACCGCCCGUCACGUCAUGGGAGCUGGUAACACCUGAAGCCGGUAUCCUAACCCGUAAGGGAGGGAGCUGUCGAAGGUGGGACUGGUGACUGGGACGAAGUCGUAACAAGGUAGGUGUACCGGAAGGUGCGCCUGG